rnacentral:miRNA from 1 species
UUUGUAUUACGUGCGGAAAUUGUUACCGUUUUCAGCUCAAAAAUGGUAACAAUUUCCGCACGUAAUACAAA